UUAGUACUCCCUUCGUCCCAAAAUUCUUGUCUUAGAUUUGUCUAGAUAUGGAUGUAUCUAAUACUAAAAUGUGACUUGAUACAUCCGUAUUUAGACAAAUUUAAGACAAGAAUUUUGGGACGGAGGGAGUACUUC
rnacentral:pre_miRNA from 1 species